UACGUAGGGGGCAAGCGUUGUCCGGAAUCAUUGGGCGUAAAGAGCGCGUAGGCGGCCUGGUAAGUCCGCUGUGAAAGUCCAGGGCUCAACCCUGGAAUGCCGGUGGAAACUGUCAGGCUCGAGUCCGGAAGAGGCGAGUGGAAUUCCUGGUGUAGCGGUGAAAUGCGCAGAUAUCGGGAAGAACACCCGUGGCGAAGGCGGCUCUCUGGGACGGUACUGACGCUGAGACGCGAAAGCGUGGGGAGCGAACAGG
rnacentral:rRNA from 1 species